rnacentral:rRNA from 1 species
AUGCUGGCUAUCUAUACACAGGUUGUAGUGAUUAGAGAGAAGCUUGCGAAACUGUAUGAAUCUGAACAACAAUGGUUGAGAGCAGCACAAAUGCUUAGUGGCAUUGACUUGGACUCAGGAAUCAGGAUACUUGAUGACACAAACAAAUUAUCCAAGUGCGUCCAGAUUACACGACUCUAUUUGGAGGAUGAUGAUGAUGCAGUGAAUGCUGAAGCCUUUAUCAACAAAGCCUCGUUUUUGGUCACAAACAGCAACCAGGAAAUUCUGAACUUACAAUACAAGGUUUUUUUGUUCAGAAACAGUUUAAUAAUCUAUCUGUCUACAACUAAGGAUAAAAAUUUAGUUCCCUUCUUAUACCUCUUGUAG